UACGAAGGGGGCUAGCGUUGCUCGGAAUCACUGGGCGUAAAGGGCGCGUAGGCGGACAUUUAAGUCGGGGGUGAAAGCCCAGGGCUCAACCCUGGAAUGGCCUUCGAUACUGGAUGUCUUGAGACCGGAAGAGGUUGGUGGAACUGCGAGUGUAGAGGUGAAAUUCGUAGAUAUUCGCAAGAACACCGGUGGCGAAGGCGGCCAACUGGUCCGGUUCUGACGCUGAGGCGCGAAAGCGUGGGGAGCAAACAGG
rnacentral:rRNA from 1 species